rnacentral:rRNA from 1 species
GAUAAACGCUGGCGGCGUGCCUAACACAUGCAAGUCGAACGCCCUUUUGCGCAAGUGAGAGGGAGUGGCGGACGGGUGAGUACCACGUGGGUACCUACCUUGAGGUGAGGAAUACCACCGAGAAAUCGGUGACAAGACCGCAUACGCUCGGGACAACCGAGACAAAGUCAUGACAAAUGACGCCAACAAGAUGAGCCUAGCGCCUGAUUAGCUGGUUGGUGAGGUAACAGCUCACCAAGGCGACGAUCAGUAGCUGGUCUGAGAGGAUGAUCAGCCACAC